rnacentral:rRNA from 1 species
GGCUCAUUAAAUCAGUUACGGUUCAUUAGAUGAACAACAAUCUUACAUGGAUAACUGUGGUAAUUCUAGAGCUAAUACAUGCACUAUAGUCUUGCGCCUCACGGCAAGAGACGCAGUUAUUAGACCGAGAUCAACGCACUUCGGUGCAGCGACAAUGGUGACUCUUGAUAACCAACGUAACUAAGCUGAUCGUACGGCCUCCGUGCCGACGACAUGUCUUUCAAGUGUCUGCUCUAUCAACUUUAGAUGGUAGGUUAUGUGCCUACCAUGGUUGUUACGGGUGACGGGGAAUCAGGGUUCGAUUCCGGAGAAGGAGCCUGAGAAACGGCUACUACAUCCAAGGAAGGCAGCAGGCACGCAAAUUACCCACUCUCGGCACGAGGAGGUAGUGACGAAAAAUAACAAUGUGGCUCGCCUUGUGCGACGCCACAAUUGGAAUGAGAACAAUCUAAAUCCUUUCCACGAGGAUCAAUUGGAGGGCAAGUCUGGUGCCAGCAGCCGCGGUAAUUCCAGCUCCAAUAGCGUAUAUUAAAGUUGUUGCGGUUAAAAAGCUCGUAGUUGGAUUUUGCAUCACCGUUCGUCGGUGCUUACCUUCGGGUGAGUCACAGUCGACGGUAUGCUUUAACUGUUUUGCUUGCGCUGACCUUCACCGGUCACGCGCAACGCAUACAGUAAACGUUUACUUUGAGAAAAUUAGAGUGCUCAAGGCAUGCGACUCGUUCGCACGCAUACUAUUGCAUGGAAUAAUGGAAUAGGACUUCGGUCCGAUUCUUGUUGGUCUCACGACACUGUACCGAAUCGUAAUGAUUAAGAGGGACAGACGGGGGCAUUCGUAUGGCGGCGCUAGAGGUGAAAUUCUUGGACCGUCGCCAGACGAACAACAGCGAAAGCAUUUGCCAAGAAUGUUUUCAUUAAUCAAGAACAAAAGUCAGAGGUUCGAAGGCGAUCAGAUACCGCCCUAGUUCUGACCAUAAACGAUGCCAACCAGCAAUCGCGGUGCGAUCUACUCACAUUGAUCCCCGCGGCGGCUUCCCCCGACGGGAAACCAUUGAGUUUUUGGGUUCCGGGGGAAGUAUGGUUGCAAAGCUGAAACUUAAAGGAAUUGACGGAAGGGCACCACCAGGAGUGGAGCCUGCGGCUUAAUUUGACUCAACACGGGAAAACUCACCCGGCCCGGACACUUGAAGGAUUGACAGAUUGAGAGCUCUUUCUCGAUUAAGUGGGUGGUGGUGCAUGGCCGUUCUUAGUUGGUGGAGCGAUUUGUCUGGUUAAUUCCGAUAACGAACGAGACUCUGAUCAUUUAAAUAGUGUUAUGACUCUUCGGCGUCAUAACGUCUGCGCUUCGGCGUACGACAACACUUCUUAGAGGGAUAAUCGGCGGUGCAGCCGAACGAGAAAGAGCAAUAACAGGUCUGUGAUGCCCUUAGAUGUCCGGGGCCGCACGCGCGCUACACUGAAGUGAGCAGCACGUGUCUAUGUGGUGCGGCCGGCAACGGCCGCAGAACCCAUAGAACCUUCUUCGUGAUAGGGAUUGAGCUUUGUAACUAUCGCUCAUGAACGAGGAAUUCCCAGUAAGUGCGAGUCAUAAGCUCGCAUUGAUUACGUCCCUGCCCUUUGUACACACCGCCCGUCGCUACUAUCGAUUGAAUGAUUUAGUGAGGUCUUCGGAGGGUGGCCGCCGCGCUGGCAACAGUGUGGUGGCCGCCCGAAGAUGCCCAAACUUGAUCAUUUAGAGAAAGUAAAAGUCG